AAUCCGUGAUGUGGGUAAACUCUUGUUAACUCCUUAUUUCACUCCCAUGUUUCGAAGAGCGAUUCACAGUCAGUCUGCCUGAAGCAUGUAAUAUGGUUCCUAAGUUG